AGUGCAUCACAUGUGACUACACUAAUGUCUGAAUAUCUUGAUUAAAAUCUCCAAAGCAGAGGAAUGUUGGGAUGGCACUGUUCGUCACAGAACAUGGCAUGCAUUGAGAAACAGCUGUACUGAGCACCUGCAAGAUGACUCAUGGGUAAAGCACUCACCACCAAUCCUGUUGACCUGGACUGGAUCCCUAGAACAUAGAAGUUGAAAGAAGAAAAAAGACUCCUACAGAUUGUUUUGUGUCCGCCACGUUCAUGCUAUGGCAUGGCUGCUCUCACACCCAUAC